UACGUAGGGUGCAAGCGUUGUUCGGAAUCAUUGGGCGUAAAGCGCGUGUAGGCGGUCAAAUAAGUCGAGUGUGAAAUCCCUGGGCUCAACCGAGGAAGUGCAUCCGAAACUAUUUGGCUAGAAGAUGGCAGAGGAAGGUGGAAUUCCUAGUGUAGAGGUGAAAUUCGUAGAUAUUAGGAGGAAUACCGGCGGCGAAGGCGGCCUUCUGGACCAUUCUUGACGCUGAGACGCGAAAGCGUGGGUAGCAAACAGG
rnacentral:rRNA from 1 species